rnacentral:tRNA from 1 species
GUCCGCGUAGAUUAUUAUAAAAUCAUGAUGCUGUUAACUUCAAAAAGAAUUACGUUCCACGGUCG